CGCAAUUGAUGACGUCACAAGCAGGUCGAGUCGCCUGCCGUUUACGUGAACGCGCAUCCGCUCGUUCUCGUUUAUACGAACCUACGUACAUCUACUUGCCUUUUCUGUUCCUGUACCCAUUUAAAACCAUGAUUGGGCGAGGCUCUGGGUGGAAGACAGAAAGUGCGUGCUAAGGAGGGGAGGAGACAGGAAUGAAGGAAGUGUGUGUAUGGAUCGGGAGAUGGAAAAAGGAAGCAUCGAAAGUGAUUGAAAAGAGCAGUGUACGAAAAGGGAUAAAUGAAAAAUGUCUUUAUUUUAGAGGUGUGCCCAGCGACCUAAACAGCGGGCUGGGUUUUUUUUCCUUUUUGGCUGUUCUGUUCAUUUCUUGUUUUCAAUAAACUCAGCAUCUUUGGA